rnacentral:rRNA from 1 species
GAUGAACGCUGGCGGCGUGCCUAAUACAUGCAAGUCGAGCGAACAGAUAAGGAGCUUGCUCCUUUGACGUUAGCGGCGGACGGGUGAGUAACACGUGGGUAACCUACCUAUAAGACUGGAAUAACUCCGGGAAACCGGGGCUAAUGCCGGAUAACAUUUAGAACCGCAUGGUUCUAAAGUGAAAGAUGGUUUUGCUAUCACUUAUAGAUGGACCCGCGCCGUAUUAGCUAGUUGGUAAGGUAACGGCUUACCAAGGCAACGAUACGUAGCCGACCUGAGAGGGUGAUCGGCCACACUGGAACUGAGACACGGUCCAGACUCCUACGGGAGGCAGCAGUAGGGAAUCUUCCGCAAUGGGCGAAAGCCUGACGGAGCAACGCCGCGUGAGUGAUGAAGGUCUUCGGAUCGUAAAACUCUGUUAUUAGGGAAGAACAAAUGUGUAAGUAACUGUGUACGUCUUGACGGUACCUAAUCAGAAAGCCACGGCUAACUACGUG